rnacentral:rRNA from 1 species
UACGUAGGCAGCAAGCGUUGUUCGGAGUUACUGGGCGUAAAGCGUGCGCAGGCGGCUUCUCAAGUCAGGGGUGAAAGCCCAGAGCUCAACUCUGGAAUUGCCUUUGAGACUGAGUGGCUUGAGUACGAGAGAGGUGAGUGGAAUUCCCAGUGUAGAGGUGAAAUUCGUAGAUAUUGGGAAGAACACCGGUGGCGAAGGCGGCGCUCUGGACCGAGACUGACGCUGAGGCGCGAAAGCGUGGGGAGCAAACAGG